CCUACGGGGUGCAGCAGUCGGGAAUAUUGCGCAAUGGAGGAAACUCUGACGCAGUGACGCCGCGUAUAGGAGGAAGGUUUUCGGAUUGUAAACUAUUGUCGUUAGGGCAGAUAAAAGACUGUACCUCAGGAGGAAGCCCCGGCUAACGAGGUGCCAGCAGCCGCGGUAAUACAUAGGGGGCAAGCGUUAUCCGGAAUUAUUGGGUGUAAAGGGUGCGUAGACGGAAGAACAAGUUGGUUGUGAAAUCCCGCGGCUAAACUGAGGAACUGCAACCAAAACUAUUCUCCUUGAGUGUGGGAGAGGAAAGUGGAAUUCCUAGUGUAGCGGUGAAAUGCGUAGAUAUUAGGAGGAACACCAGUGGCGAAGGCGACUUUCUGGACGAUAACUGACGUUGGGGCACGAAAGUGUGGGGAGCAAACAGGAUUAGAUACCCCAGUGUC
rnacentral:rRNA from 1 species